CUCAGGACGAACGCUGGCGGCGUGCUUAACACAUGCAAGUCGAACGGAAAGGCCCUGCUUUUGUGGGGUGCUCGAGUGGCGAACGGGUGAGUAACACGUGAGUACCUGCCCUUGACUUUGGGAUAACUUCAGGAAACUGGGGCUAAUACCGGAUAGGAGCUCCUGCUGCAUGGUGGGGGUUGGAAAGUUUCGGCGGUUGGGGAUGGACUCGCGGCUUAUCAGCUUGUUGGUGGGGUAGUGGCUUACCAAGGCUUUGACGGGUAGCCGGCCUGAGAGGGUGACCGGCCACAUUGGGACUGAGAUACGGCCCAGACUCCUACGGGAGGCAGCAGUGGGGAAUAUUGCACAAUGGGCGGAAGCCUGAUGCAGCAACGCCGCGUGCGGGAUGACGGCCUUCGGGUUGUAAACCGCUUUCGCCUGUGACGAAGCGUGAGUGACGGUAAUGGGUAAAGAAGCACCGGCUAACUACGUGCCAGCAGCCGCGGUGAUACGUAGGGUGCGAGCGUUGUCCGGAUUUAUUGGGCGUAAAGGGCUCGUAGGUGGUUGAUCGCGUCGGAAGUGUAAUCUUGGGGCUUAACCCUGAGCGUGCUUUCGAUACGGGUUGACUUGAGGAAGGUAGGGGAGAAUGGAAUUCCUGGUGGAGCGGUGGAAUGCGCAGAUAUCAGGAGGAACACCAGUGGCGAAGGCGGUUCUCUGGGCCUUUCCUGACGCUGAGGAGCGAAAGCGUGGGGAGCGAACAGGCUUAGAUACCCUGGUAGUCCACGCUGUAAACGGUGGGUACUAGGUGUGGGGUCCAUUCCACGGGUUCCGUGCCGUAGCUAACGCUUUAAGUACCCCGCCUGGGGAGUACGGCCGCAAGGCUAAAACUCAAAGGAAUUGACGGGGCCCCGCACAAGCGGCGGAGCAUGCGGAUUAAUUCGAUGCAACGCGUAGAACCUUACCUGGGUUUGACAUGGAUCGGGAGUGCUCAGAGAUGGGUGUGCCUCUUUUGGGGUCGGUUCACAGGUGGUGCAUGGCUGUCGUCAGCUCGUGUCGUGAGAUGUUGGGUUAAGUCCCGCAACGAGCGCAACCCUUGUUCACUGUUGCCAGCACGUUAUGGUGGGGACUCAGUGGAGACCGCCGGGGUCAACUCGGAGGAAGGUGGGGAUGACGUCAAGUCAUCAUGCCCCUUAUGUCCAGGGCUUCACGCAUGCUACAAUGGCUGGUACAGAGAGUGGCGAGCCUGUGAGGGUGAGCGAAUCUCGGAAAGCCGGUCUCAGUUCGGAUUGGGGUCUGCAACUCGACCUCAUGAAGUCGGAGUCGCUAGUAAUCGCAGAUCAGCAACGCUGCGGUGAAUACGUUCCCGGGGCUUGUACACACCGCCCGUCAAGUCAUGAAAGUUGGUAACACCCGAAGCCGGUGGCCUAACCGUUGUGGGGGAGCCGUCGAAGGUGGGACUGGUGAUUAGGAAUAAGUCGUAACAAGGU
rnacentral:rRNA from 1 species